rnacentral:rRNA from 1 species
GUAGGUGGCAAGCGUUGUCCGGAAUUAUUGGGGCGUAAAGCGCGCGCAGGGCGGUUCUUUAAGUCUGAUGUGAAAGCCCACGGCUCAACCGUGGAGGGUCAUUGGAAACUGGAGAACUUGAGUACAGAAGAGGAAAGCGGAAUUCCACGUGUAGCGGUGAAAUGCGUAGAGAUGUGGAGGAACACCAGUGGCGAAGGCGGCUUUCUGGUCUGUAACUGACGCUGAGGCGCGAAAGCGUGGGGAGCAAACAGGGUUAGAUACCCUGGUAGUCCACGCCGUAAACGACGAGUGCUAAGUGUUAGGGGGUUUCCGCCCCUUAGUGCUGCAGCUAACGCAUUAAGCACUCCGCCUGGGGAGUACGGCCGCAAGGCUG